GGAGAUCAGCCUUCCAUGGAGUAGUGGACGGCAGCAGCAGCACAGCAGCGGGCUCCCAUUCCUUCCUUCUCUUUCUCCUUUGAAAUAUUCCCAAAAUAGCCAAACCUCUCUCCCUCCUCUCUUUUUUUUAUUUCUUGUGGAAACUCCCUGAGAAGAGCCAAGCUCUUCUUCUCCCCGUGGGGAACUUGGCCUCUGAGGAGAGAUGGGAUUCAAGGGGUCCGUCUCCUCCUCCUUUUAUAGCCUUCACCAGCCCUCUCUCCUCCCCUGUUCCGAGUGCAGAUAAGGAUGAACAGCUAUGGGAUAAGGCAGAUGAAUCUGCUCCUUGAUCCUUGGACGCGGUGGGAUAAGGAAGAUGAGAAGAAAGCCGUUGGGAGGAAUGAAAUCCUGAAGUUUGCUUGGAUAAAGAUGAAUCACGUCCGUGAAUGGGAGAUGAUCCAGAAGAAGCGGGAUGCUGGGACGCGUUCACAGAUUGGGGAGGCAUUGGAACGAGGUGAAGAUAAGAGUGAUACGGUUGGGAGAUGAUGAAGUUUGGGACUCGGCUGAAGCUGGGAAGUCUGUGGGAUUUGAUUUUAUCCCGUGGAGAUAUAGACACUGGGAAGAAAACAGAAUGAAGGAGCUAGGGUUAAUCGGGAUGAUAGCAGACGUUGGGAAGAAGUUGAUGAUCCGUGAUCCAUGGGAUGUUGCUUGAUCUUCGGCUGCAGGUGAUGGCGAGGACGUGGACCAAGAUGCAAGGGAUGCUGAGAUUAUUCUGUGGAUAAGAAUGAAUUCAGGUGCUUGGAACGGCUGGAAGGUUGAUCACAAAGGGAAGAUUGGCCUGUUCUGUUUUCGAAACAGGGGAGAUUCACAGCAUAUGCGAACGGGUGAUGAGGAUGAAUUCUGUUUGGAUCCCGUGAAUGCAGGGGAGUUCGGAAGGAGUUGGAUUGAUUUAAAGAGAAAAUCGUGGAAGGCAAUCGGGAUGAGCAUGGCUCUGUUUUGAAGCUAAAACAGGGGAUGCGGAACUGUGAACGUUGGGGUGUUGUUCACGACUUAGAUAAGGUGCCGGAAGAAUCGGAAAAUAAGGAUGAAUUGAGGGAGAGGGAAGAUGCUGAGGAUUCAGAUGUGGUCGUGGGAUGGAGAUAGAUCACGAGCGUAUGGUUUGGAAGAAGGAUACGGCUGUGAUGUGGAGCAUUGGUUGCGGGAAGAUGAAGCCAAGGAGUGAUUUGUGGACGUUGGGUUAAUCCAUGGGUGAGCAGCUGGGAGGAUGGAAUCGGAUCCAUGCGGCUGAUCUGGAACGAACUCACGAACGGGAUGAUAAAGUUGGGAUGAGGAUGUGGACAUGGAAAGAAUGGGAUUGGGUUAGGAUCUAGCGGAAGAACAUGGCUAAACUAUGAAUGGGUGUGGUCGGCUGGGUGAGGGGUUGAGCUUAUUUUAAUGUGGUUUGGCUAGGAAGAUGGAAUUAACCUCAUAUGGCUGGGAACACGGUUGGGGUGUGGGCUUAGGCAAUCACUCAAUUGGAUUUGACUUGACCUGCAUAUAUAAAACUUAAUAAAUAAUCAAAUCAAACUUUGAUAGUUUAUAAAAAUGCAAUGGUGAAGGUAACACAUUUUUUAGUUACAUUUACAAAAUAUGUGAAUUAAAAUAAUGAUAAGUGCUAUGAAUAGGAUAUUAAUUUAUGCAUUAUUUAGCACUUAUCAGGUGGCAAUUUAGCAAUUAAUUCUACUUUGGCCUUAUCCACCUCAAUUCCCCUUUGUGACACAAUGUGUCCUAAAACAAUACCUGAUUCUACCAUGAAAUGACACUUCUCCCAGUUAAGAACUAAGUUUUUCUCUUUACAGCGUUCUACAACAAGUGUCAAGUGGUGCAGACAUUCAUCAAUAUUGGAUCCAAAUACAGAAAAAUCAUCCAUGAAAACUUCUAAAAAUUUCUCCACCAUGUCGGAGAAAAUGCUCCUCAUACACCGCUAGAAUGUAGNNNNNNNNNNNNNNNNNNNNNNNNNNNNNNNNNNNNNNNNNNNNNNNNNNNNNNNNNNNNNNNNNNNNNNNNNNNNNNNNNNNNNNNNNNNNNNNNNNNNNNNNNNNNNNNNNNNNNNNNNNNNNNNNNNNNNNNNNNNNNNNNNNNNNNNNNNNNNNNNNNNNNNAUUUAGAUAUAUAUAUAUUUAUUUUAGAAUUUUUUUAAUUAAUUAAAUUUUUUUAAUGAUAGGAAAAAUAACUAUGCUAGCAAUCCCCGGCAACGGCGCCAAAAAUUGAUCGGUUCUUUCAAUUUUGAAAAUAAACCACGCAAUAGCACGUAUCCUGUAGGAUAGUGAUUACGGGUGUCGGUCCACAAGGAUUGAAGAAUAAGUUAUUUUUUUCUCUUAAAAGUAAAUCAAAUAGAAGAAUUUGCUAACUUGAUUUAACUAAAUUAAUUCAAAUGGCAUAAGCUAGAGUAAAAAGAAUUUUAAGUUAUCGAUUAAUGAGAGCUAAAAGUAUGAUGAAUGCAAUAGUAGGAAUAUUUUAUGGGAAGAGAUGUCUAGGGUUAGAAUCCACCGAUGGAUUUGUAAAUAUGAUGCUUUCAAUGAUUUAGAUGCAUGUAUGAUCUGAUUGCUCUUAACUACAAGUUUGGGCAAUCAUACAAAAAGUUGAAAUCUAACCCACAGUAUGAGUCAUCUAAGCCUGGUACAAACCAUCUUCUCUAAGGAUAGGUAUGGUCUGUCCUAUUUAGCAUGAUUCAUCUGAUGAUUAAUUUCUCAAAGAUAAAUCUGGUAGUUGCAUAACAAUCUCCUCCAAACCACAGGUAUUGAAUUCGAUUUCGAUAAACUAUAUUAAUUCAUGCGGAGGCUUUCUACAAGAUAGAUGUCUUACACAAAUUAAACAAGACAUUUCAAGAUCAUAAUUUCAUUAAAUAUGCAACUGUCUUACAAUGCUAAAAAUCAAAGAAAUGCAACAUAAAUACUUAUCCACGGCUUCAUCAAACCCCUAAACCGAGGUUUAGCUGCUCAUGGUGGCCGGAAGUCCUCCCAUCUUCAUAAAAAAAUUACUCUUCACUCCCUUCCGCUCCCAGCCUCUCUCUCUUCUCUCUUUUUUUAUUUCUUCUUCUCCCGAACAGAGCCUCCUCUGUUCUUCAAACCGUCGCCCCCUUUCUCCCAAGCUCUCUCCUCCUUAUGUAGUCGUCCGGGCUGCUCAUUCGGGAAAGGAGAAGAGAUACGAACUGCUGAUUCCGGGGCAUGAUGUUGGAGGGCAAAUCGCGGACGAAGGGGGAGAAUGGCUGGAUCUCGGGAGGAAGGCGUGAUUUGUGGAGUGCCGGAUUGAUUGUAGAUGGCCGGAUCAAUGGAGCUUGCGACGGGAGGCUGAUGCGCAAACGGAAGAACAUGAGAUGGCCGUGGGAUCUCGAAGAAGACGGGGAUGGAGCUAGAGACGGAUGCCGACGGCUGGAAUCGCGGAGGAGUGAUUGCUGGCUGCACCGGCGGAUGGCAGAAUACCCAGGGAUGAAGAUGAUGCCGUGAAUCUCGGCUGCUGGGAGGUGGAAUGGGUUGUGUCACGGGCGGAAGAAGGGUCGGAGAUGAAGACGACGCCGCAUAGGUGGAUCUGGAANNNNNNNNNNNNNNNNNNNNUGUAGGUGGAUCUGGCAUGCGGCUGAUACGAGGUCCCAUUGUUUUGAAGCGAGGAUGGAGGAUCGGGUUGCUUUGGUGGGGUAGGAUUCGAAUCAUCGGCAUCAAAGAGUCUCCCUGUUUCAGCGCUGUGAUUGGAGCCGGCUGGGGCGGGCUGAUGGCAGAGGAGCUGGACGCGGUGGGCACUCGUGGGAUGCGGCUGGGAAGGAGCUGGUCGCUGGUGCACCGCGUGGAUCACGGAGGGUUGGAUGCUUCCCCUGCUUCGACGUUGGGAUGGAAGGCUGAUGCGGAAACCAACUCAACAAGCUGCGAGACGGCUGAGCUUGCACACUUUGCAUUGGGCUGAUCUCCCCUAUUUUGGCUUGGUCUAUUGGGUUGAGCUCCAUCAUGUGAUUGAUUUGAGCUCGAGCUGAAGAAUGGCACGGAUCCUGGAACGAUUGGAUACUUCAUCGCGGACGGUUGGGAGGAAUCAUGAUGCGAAAACGGAAAUUUCUAAACCGUUGGAUCACUUGGAGAGCCACGGAUGGUGGACAGUGCUUGAGUGCAAGCAUGGCAGUUGGGCAUUGAGCUCAAACCCAAUGUUAUUGAGUCUCUAGGAUUACUUGCACUUAGCUUAAGGAGGGAAUUAUUUAUUUCUUGACAUGUAUUAAAUUUAUUUCAAUGAUUAUUCAAUUUUAUGGUAAAAUAAGUAUUUAUCCAUUUAAGAACAUUGGCAAGUGCUAUGGAAAGAUAACUAAAUUAUAAAUUAUUCAACACUUAUCACACCUCCAAACCUAUGUUUUGCUAGUCCUCGAGCAAAAUAGAAAAGAAAUUAACUCACUUUCACAGGAAUCGCGAUUGCAUUUACCGUAUGCAAUAAGGCUUUAAACCCCUAGGUGGCCCUAGUGGACGAGUUUUGUCUCGUGAGAGUUUCCAGUGAUGAUACCCACAAACUUCAAUAUUAAAAUAAAUCAUUUAUUGUUAUGAUUAUUAUUAUUAUGAUUAUUAUUAUUAUUUUAAGAUCUAUGAAGUGAAAAUCAAAUUCCAAAUGCAUACUAGCUAAGAAUUUCAAAAACUCUCUCUUUUUUUUAUUAAAAUCUAAUUUAAGAUACAUAAAUGAUGAAAAUUUCAAAACAUACAUGGUUUUAUUUACUAAGUCAGCCCAAAUC
rnacentral:lncRNA from 1 species